GGAGGGUUGUCCGAGCGGCCGAUGGAGCUGGUCUUGAAAACCAGUGAGCAGAGAUGUUCCGCGGGUUCGAAUCCCGCACCCUCCG
rnacentral:tRNA from 3 species